rnacentral:rRNA from 1 species
AGUGAACGCUGGCGGCAGGCCUAAUACAUGCAAGUCGAACGGCAGCACAGCUUAAGCUUGCUUAAGUGGGUGGCGAGUGGCGGACGGGUGAGGAAUACGUGGGAAUCUGCCCAGUCGUGGGGGAUAACGUAGGGAAACUUACGCUAAUACCGCAUGCGCCCUUUGGGGGAAAGCCGGGGAUCUUCGGACCUGGCGCGAUUGGAUGAGCCCACGUCGGAUUAGCUAGUUGGAGGGGUAAAGGCCCACCAAGGCGACGAUCCGUAGCUGGUCUGAGAGGAUGAAAAGCCACACUGGACCUGAGACACGGUCGAGACUCCUACGGUAGGCAGCAGUAGGGAAUAUUGGACAAUGGGCGCAAGCCUGAUCCAGCCAUGCCGCGUGAGUGAAGAAGGCCCUCGGGUUGUAAAGCUCUUUUGUUGGGGAAGAAAAGCCUUGGGUUAAUACCCUGAGGUUCUGACGGUACCCAAAGAAUAAGCACCGGCUAACUUCGUGCCAGCCGCCGCCGUAA